GAUGAACGCUAGCGGCAGGCCUAAUACAUGCAAGUCGAACGAGAUUAAGAGGCUUGCUUCUUAUGAAAGUGGCGCACGGGUGCGUAACGCGUAUGCAACCUACCUUCAUCAGGGGGAUAGCCCGAAGAAAUUCGGAUUAAGACCGCAUAAAAACACAGGAUAGCAUUAUCCAAUGUUCAAAUAUUUAUAGGAUUAAGAUGGGCAUGCGUGUCAUUAGCUAGUUGGCGGGGUAACGGCCCACCAAGGCGACGAUGACUAGGGGAUCUGAGAGGAUGACCCCCCACACUGGUACUGAGACACGGACCAGACUCCUACGGGAGGCAGCAGUAAGGAAUAUUGGUCAAGGGAGGGAACUCUGAACCAGCCAUGCCGCGUGCAGGAAGACAGCCCUCUGGGUCGUAAACUGCUUUUAUUCGGGAAUAAACCUUUCUACGUGUAGGAAGCUGAAUGUACCGAAGGAAUAAGGAUCGGCUAACUCCGUG
rnacentral:rRNA from 1 species